rnacentral:rRNA from 1 species
AUUGAACGCUGGCGGCAGGCCUAACACAUGCAAGUCGAACGGUAGCACAGAGAGCUUGCUCUCGGGUGACGAGUGGCGGACGGGUGAGUAAUGCCUGGGAAACUGCCCGAUGGAGGGGGAUAACUACUGGAAACGGUAGCUAAUACCGCAUAACGUCGCAAGACCAAAGUGGGGGACCUUCGGGCCUCACACCAUCGGAUGUGCCCAGAUGGGAUUAGCUAGUAGGUGGGGUAAUGGCUCACCUAGGCGACGAUCCCUAGCUGGUCUGAGAGGAUGACCAGCCACACUGGAACUGAGACACGGUCCAGACUCCUACGGGAGGCAGCAGUGGGGAAUAUUGCACAAUGGGCGCAAGCCUGAUGCAGCCAUGCCGCGUGUAUGAAGAAGGCCUUCGGGUUGUAAAGUACUUUCAGCGGGGAGGAAGGCGGUGGAGUUAAUAACUUCACCGAUUGACGUUACCCGCAGAAGAAGCACCGGCUAACUCCGUGCCAGCCGCCGGGGUAA